UACGGGGGGGGCAAGCGUUGUUCGGAAUUACUGGGCGUAAAGGGCGCGUAGGCGGCCUUCUAAGUCAGACGUGAAAUCCCCCGGCUUAACCUGGGAACUGCGUCUGAUACUGGGAGGCUUGAGUAUGGGAGAGGGAUGUAGAAUUCCAGGUGUAGCGGUGAAAUGCGUAGAUAUCUGGAGGAAUACCGGUGGCGAAGGCGGCAUCCUGGACCAUAACUGACGCUGAGGUGCGAAAGCGUGGGGAGCAAACAGG
rnacentral:rRNA from 1 species